rnacentral:rRNA from 1 species
UACGGAGGGGGCUAGCGUUGUUCGGAAUUACUGGGCGUAAAGCGCACGUAGGCGGCUUUGUAAGUUAGAGGUGAAAGCCCGGGGCUCAACCCCGGAAUUGCCUCUAAGACUGCAUCGCUUGAACGUCGGAGAGGUGAGUGGAAUUCCGAGUGUAGAGGUGAAAUUCGUAGAUAUUCGGAAGAACACCAGUGGCGAAGGCGGCUCACUGGACGACUGUUGACGCUGAGGUGCGAAAGCGUGGGGAGCAAACAGG